rnacentral:lncRNA from 1 species
CUGGGGUGCGGGAGGAGGUGGGAGGGUGAGGCUGUGGCCAGCAGGAGCCAGGCCUCAGGGUGCCAGCCUGGACCAGGAGCAUGUGCUGGGGGCUUGCUUUCCGCAAUCAGGCACUUUUUCAAGUUGGUCCUGAACGGUUCUGGACUGGAUGGCAGGCUGCUGUGUGUGAUUGAGAAUGUUGCCUGUCUGAGCCCUGAGAUGAGCUGAGGGUUCCUCCUCCCCAGCCAGCACCAGCCUCACACAGCCCUUGUAAAUCUGAAAGUGCUGUUGGUAGCAACCAGGGAUGGGCAGAGGCAGCCCUGUCCUGAGGGUGACAUGAAAGUGAGAGCAAGCUGAAGCUCCAGUUGGCUUAGUCUUCAAAAGUGUCACUUUCAGAUUAUAUCCCUCAGCUUUAAAAUAUCCUUCUUUGAAGUCCAUCCUGCUCUGCCCACUAUUUGUCCCCGGUGGUCACUUCCUCCUCUGUGCUCCCGUGGCCUGGGAUUCACACCAGGAAAGAACGCCACGAAGAAGGAAUGACAAGAAAAUGGAGGCAAAGAACAUUGGAGUCACUCCCUGGCUACACACACUGAGGUGAUAACCAAGGCAAGACUUGAACACCACUCUCUUUCUGAUUGCAAACCUGAACAAAGAAGAAAUAAGAGGAGGAGGAGAGCAAGAGAUAGAGGCAAGGAGCUGUACUGGAAAUCUACAAUAACUCAUGGAGGGAGGAAAUGUCUUACAGAAGAGGCAUUAGAUUGAACAUCCCGUGGUGUUUUCUCCCCCUCGGUUUCUGGAAAACCAUAUACUUUCAUUUAUAAACUCUAUGCCCAGAUCCCAAAGUAGGAAUCAAGAGCUCCUUUGAGGACAUGCAACCCUUCUCAGAAGUGACUCACAUAACAGGAUGAGGUGCUCAAAAAGGGCCGGUGUGCCGCAGUGAGUGCCAGUUUGAAUGAAGGAAGCAUGCGUGGCCUGAAGCCUCACCGUGUUCCAGGCGUCCAGUUAAGUGCUCUGCACAUAAUAUCACACAUUGCGCUCCACGAUAAGAACAAAUUCUCACAUGGGAACCGAGCAAAGUGUAAUGGAUGUUCCCAGGAGCUGCCUAUGGGAUUCAAGAAAACUGUAUGAGAGGAGUAACAUUUGGGCUGGAAGCGAAAAUACAAGUAAACAUAUGUCAAAUGGGCUUGCCAGGAAACUGCUACAAUUUUCAAGAGCGCCUUUGAAAGCUCCCACCAACUGCCGCAGUCUGCAUCAGCCAGGCAUGUGUACCCACACAGCCCGCCCAGCACCCUGUGUGAAGCCCAUCUCCACUUCCAGGUCUGGCUGUGUCCAGCUCUAGAGAGCUGUGGAGUCAGCGCCACUUCUGCUUCAAGAUCCAUGAUGAGUGCCAUCUCUGGACAUCCCUCAAGCCUUCAGUCUGUAGACCCUGCAGAGAGAACUUGCAGAUAUUGUAAUGUCUGUGUUCCUACACUUCAAAUGUGAGCUUGUGGGGUGUCAUCUUGGAGAUUUUCGUGUUGGAAAUCUUCCACUCAAACACAUGUGCUUCAGGAGAAACACGAAGUGUGAAAAUGUUAAGUUCCAAGAAAGCACAGACGUGCGUCUAAUGAAUAGAUUUGGAAAUGAUGGGUAGACACGGACAAGGAUCUCAUCUACUGCAUUUGCUAAAUAAUCAGACCUGAUCUUAACAUUUUAGCUCGUUCUACUCGUGGUUGUCCAUGUGGCAAGGAGUCAUGAAGUAAUAACAUAUCCUCUGUAGUCGGUGCCUAUGAAGGGGUGACAGACAUCUGCAUGUACAGGAUAUGCUGUGAAUUUAAUGAGUUUUGUCUUGUGUCCUAUAUUGACUUUAUCAGGAAGCCCUAAAUGUCCCAGACUCAGCCUUUACCAAUACAUUACAACAACUGGCACAUAGAGCUAUUUUUCUGCCACGGUAAUUGGUGCUUCAGUCAUUAACCUAGCUGACAAUCAUACCUCUACACACAAAAAUCUGGACAACCUCUUCUGGUCUUUCCCAUAGGGUCAGCUGAGGGAAGACCAAAAGAGGGGACUGAGAAGAAUUAAAAGUACAUCUUUUCACCCUCAAGAAAGGAAAAGAUCACUCUCUGGCCUGAGUCCCAAGGAGUGAACAAGUGCCCAGCGUUAAUGAGAGAUAACUUCGCAUCAGUGCACAUGCUCUGAAAAUCAGCCAAUCCCUGAUAGCCUCACUUGUGUUGUGCUUCUGAAAAGGAGCCAGUCAGCAACAGCCUCGCUCCAGUAACUACGCUUCUGAAGAUCAGCCAACCGAUGACAGCUCCAGCUCCUGAAAGUCAGCCUGUCAGUGACAGCCCCUCACUUACAGACAACAGCCAAUCUGCCGGUCUUCACCCCGGUGACAGUGCUUCUGAAAGUCAGCUAACUCCAGUGACCAGGGGCACAGCUGACGUGCUGAGUCCCCCACACUCUCACCUCUGGAACCCACCAGCCUCUCCAGGAUGGGCUUCUUCAAACCUCAUCCAAGAUCAGCUCAGGCUUGAUUUGGGAGAGACCGUUCCUCCCUUACAAUUUCAACUCUUCCUUGGAGGAAAAUGAGAAGUUUUCCUCCAUAACAGAUAUUGAGUGUAAUUCAUCAUUAGCUUACAUAUUUGCAACCAUUGUGACAGUUCAUUCAGCCCCUAUUCACAGUUCAGACUUGCCAAAGAUGGACAUUAAGAUGCUCAAAUUUAAUCUUUUCCAUUUUUGUGACGGUUGCUAUUAUCCAUUUUUAUUUGUGUACUUUUGAGUGCCCAAAAUGUUAAAAGGCAAAUGUGAAUAUCACGAUAAAUUUUAUGAGCAGUAGACAUUUACCAAACAAGUGUAUGUCUUUUUGAAGCUCUUUGUGUAGUAUGCAAUUGUGCAUUCAAUACGAAAAAUGGUGGAAAGUAAGAUAUAAGUCAGCAAAUACUAAUAGCUAAGCAUGGGAGAUGCAUGAUAUCCUUUAUCAGUGCCAUAGAAAAUAAUAAUACAUUUUUUUGUGUAAGAGAAAUUCAAAUGAAACUGAUAUAUGAGUGGCAGCAGAUCUUGUGAUGGCCUUCCACAUUGUCUGUCAGUCAUCCAUCUUUCAGCUUAAACCACUCUGUGUCCUUCUACCAUUCAGAAGCACUGUCUAAUUCCAAAUUUGCAAAUUUGCAAAUAAAUUUUUUAAGUGCCAGGUGAAAAUUUACUUGCAUAAUUUAAAAAUGUAAUAGUUCCACUAACUAUUAUAGAGAUUAUCAAAGAUAUAAAUGCCCCACCUUUUAUGGCAACUGCAGGUACAAGUAAUCAAAACGCAGAUCAAAUUUCCCUUUGCUUUUGUAAUAUUUUUUUUCUCAUGUGAAGACCCUUCCAAAGGCGAUUUCAGAAACAAAAGCAAAUUUUAGGAAACUCAUAUGUAGGGUUGAAGAAGAUGAUAAAAUCUGAUGACAACAUGGUUUGUUUGUUUGUUUGUUUGCUUGUUUGUUUUGGCCAGAAAAUAAUAUUUCAAGAAGCUGAUCAGGAAAUUCAAUAUAAUCCUGAAGUGUGGAAAAAAUAAGUUAUACCAUGAAACAUGGUUUGUACUUGAACAAAUCAAAUUUGAAGAGCAAUUCUCAGAGUGCCAAUGUUUAGUCAAUAAACUUGUCUGUAAUGCUAAUAUUGAGCAUAAUUUUCAAUUAACAAAGAACAGAAUAAGUUAGAUGUGCAGAAGCUAUGUUUUGAGGUAAAGAAACAGAGACUUUAACUGUAAGGAAUUGUGUAAGGAAGUUCUGUAAAGCAAGGAACUAUUAAGAAGAGCCAAAUCACAUGUAAUAAAUAUAGUUAAACAAGUAUAAAACAUAAUUAUUUCAGAUUAGCCACAAUUAAUGUUUUAGUAGUCAUAUGUCUCAUGCAACAGUUUCUUUUAUUUCAGUGUACAUAUGUACAGGCAAUUAGAAAUAACUCAAAUUUAACUGGGUGUUCUAUAUUUUUAUUUGCUAACUCUGGCAACUCUACCUCACUGAUACUUAAGGCCUAUAAAUGUUACUGAUAUAAAGGACAAGUUAUCUGAUUUCUUUUCUCUAUUAGCCAUGAAAGAACAUGUCAUACUGCUUCUGACAACCCAAUUCAGUGCAAAACAUGCACUUUAAUGGCUAGAGAAGUGGAGAGGAGGGAUGGUUGAUUCUUUUGAAUUCUAAGCUUUCCUGGUAAUGAACGAGUUGACUGGGAGGAAGUUAGUUCUCCUUUCCAAGUUUAGAAAUACUACAGUGAAAACAACGUAUUUUUAAUACUUCACUGCUUAAAACAACAACCACAAAAAAUGGCUGUCUGAGCUGUAUGGGAAAAGGAAGGAAAGAAGGAAGGAAGGAAGGAAGGAAGGGAGGGAGGGAAGGAGGGAGAGAAGAGAGGGAAAAGAGGCAGCAAAGCUCUGCCUUCUCAGAUCUCAUAUCAAGUUUUUUGUUUGUGUCUUUCUUUUAUGUUAUUAAUUUCAAAUACGUAAAGUUACUUAAACUGACAUAAGAAACCAUACUCUAGUAGAUGUAACCAGGUUAAUAAUUAAAUCAGAGUAAUUUUAGUAAAAUACAUCAUUUUUAGUUAUGAGUAUUGAAAUGCACUUCAAGCUGCCCAUUAAAAUAUAAUAUGCUCUUAUAGGAUUUCAAAUGUUUUUCAAUCAAUAUAGUUCUAAUAAGUGGGUCUGAAACAAUUGUAAAUUUCAGCCAGCCCACUUUAAUAUUGGUUCUGGUAUCAUACUUUCUUACAUAGAGAAGUCCCAACUGAUGAUUCUAAAAUCAUAGACUAUAUUUUAUCUUUGGUACCAAUAAGCAUUUUUUCUUGCCAUAUGAAUAUAUUCAUUAUCUGAUAAUGAUGCUAAUUUUUGUUUUUAUUUGUUGUGGAGGAAUGUCAAAUUAAUGAACCGGUUACCCUUCUCAAAGACUCUCAACACAUGUUCCUUACAAUUGUCAAAGUCAGAAAAGGUUCUUUAGAUGUCACAUGCAAACACUUCCUAGAUUUCUUUUGUGUAUGUGAGAUUAUCCCCUUGCUUUAACCUGCCCGUCAUCUUUGAUGACAUUGAGCAUGAGCUGUUUUCCCUGGAUAGAGUAGUUUUCUGUUUAUCUUGUAGAGCUUAGGUCUCUAUUGGGACCACUAAGGACUUAUAAUGGCCUGGCUUUCAGGCACAGAGGGACAGACUAAAACAUAAUUCUGUCAGAUAAAAACAAAUCCGCAUUUAGGUAAGAAAAGAUAUUUUUCAGAAGGAUUUUUGCAAUAAGCGGGGAAGAGACUACUGCUGUAGAGAGAAUGCUCCAACCAUAAUAUCUACAAGUCAGAAAUGAAUUUUCUUUUAUAGCGGGAUGUAAGUAAGGCUAGAAAGAAACAGGUACAGGGGAUAGGUGUGAGCAGGUGGCGUGGUGGUUCCAGCGCUUGGGGAUGGACCAAAUUUAGGGUCCUGUAGGGGAGGAGGGAAGCUUAAAUAGUUUGAUUAAGGCAAGUUAGCAGGUGUCUUGUCCAGAUUGGUCAAUGGGUACAAAUAAUUCAGUUAAUCAUUUAUGGGGCAAUGAAUGGAAUUUGGAGGGUCUAUGUCUGGCUGUGUCAUAAGCAAAUAAAUAGGCACCUAUGAGUCUUCUCUAAGUCACAGGAGGAGAAGUGCUUCUUUGCAAAAAGCCUUUCCCAGAAGACAAAACGUGAGGAGAUUUCUUUACUCUUUCCUGUUUUCUAGUAUCACAGGGCUUGGGUAAAUCGUCAAUCUCAUCUUGCAGUAAAAUAACUAAGUAAUAAUUAACCAACUAAUCUAUACAUCCAUGUGAGCUAGAAUGCAGAAAUAUAAUGUACUUCCUGUAAAAAUGAAGCUAAGCUAUUUCAUGUCCAAGCCUUAGCAUACUGACUUGCAGUAAGCUCUAACCUCACUCCCUGGCCCUCCAAGCACACUCUGCACUCUGGCUACAUGGACACAAUCAUAAGACCUUUCUCUACCUCAGGAUUUGUCUUCAUCCUGUUCUCCAUGAACAGCCCUCUCCUAUUUCUCUGACUAUCCAAAUUCCACCCAUUCUUCAAUAUCCAGCUCAAAUGCCACUUUUCCCCCUAAAUUUUCUUGGUAGCUCAUUUUCUCCCUCCUUCCUCAAUCAGACCAUCUAGCACACUUUUGUAUUGAGCACCUACCAUGUAGAGGGGCCAAUGCUAGUUGGGCUUUCUUUUUAUGCUCAUUGUUUUACUCGUCAUUUGAGUAUUACUCACAGUUCAUGGUUUAUGAUUCAACUUUUGUUGUCACAUAACCAGUGGCAUGCUGGUUAAUGUUUAGUAAUAGCCUCUGUGGGGCGUGUGUGUGUGUGUGUGUGUGUGUGUGUGUGUGUGUGUGUGUGUCUUCUGAUUUGUAGCAUUUUCUAAUUUCAGUGGUGUAAGCUACUCUAAAUUUGGAAAGGAAUACGUAGAAUUGGUUCUCAGGAGCCUGUAUGAGCCAGCCCCAGCAUACCACUAUACUUGACUGUGUAAACGAUGUUUAAAUAAGAAUGUGAAUGCCUUGUUUACCUCACCAGAUGACAAGACUCUGUAGGACAGGUAGUAGUUUACCAACUAACAAUAGUAAUAAGGACACUACUAUUUACUGCAUGGAUAUUCAUUGAGUAAAUGAAUGAAAAAAUAAGUGAAUUGAAACAUGUUCAAUAUAAUGUAUAAUUGAUCAUGUUUUCCCCAGUGGCUUGCUGAGAGUCUUGCAUUCCAUAGGUACUGAAGAAUAUCUGCUCAUUUGCUGAAUGAGGCACUGCUUUUAUGGGGUUAAUUUCUGUUCACUGGCUUUAGGCUUCAUCAUGAAAUACAUAUGUAGCAUGAUUCUGUUAAAGCAGAUAGGUAGCAUCUGGAUCCACUCCCUUGCCCUUCCGUCUUUCUUGUAGAGGCUACCUGUGUUUGAUGUCCUCCAUUUUAGCCACUUGCUUCAGGAGAGUGCCCAGUCUCAUGUGUGUCGUGAUUGGUUCAAGCCCAUCACAGUAAAUGUUUUGCCCUCACUGCUGAUUGAUUGGCUGAGGCAUGCCCAUAUGCUGGCAAUAUGGCCAAUGACACUGACAGAAUGCAAGCCAGGGGGCUUGUGGGAAUUUUCUCUCAUUUCUCUCAUUUAAAAAUUGAAGUCAAGGAGAGAAUUUGCCUCCUCUGACUUUAUUUGCUGUAUAGGGAUGUGUGCUGCAGGGGUCCGUCCUGUGAUCACAAAGGAAGGGAGCUUGAGGACAAAAAUCAGCACAUUAAGUAUGGGGAGCAGACAGGAGGAAUGAACCUGAGUUCUUGGCAAUGCAGUUGAGCAGGAGAAUGGACUAGCCAAGGAAUUCUCCUGUCCCUGAGUAUCUUAUGCAGAUAAUGAAUGCUUUUAUUGCUCAAGUCACUUUUACCUACAAUGUAUCCUGGACAUAUUAGUAUUGCUAUGAUGAUGAUGAUGAUGAUGAUGAUGAUGAACACCAUUGUUAUUAUUUUGUUAAAAGCUGGCCUUGUUGCCUUAUUAGGAGCAAGGAAUGCAGACAGAUGCUUGAGUAGGUGAGAGCUGGUAGUGCAUCCUCAACAUGGUUUACAAGUGAGGUGGGAGUAUUACUGACUGAUAGUUGGAUUUGAAAUGGACUGUCUCAGCAUUGUAGAAUGGAGUCCUAAGUGCAGAAUCUUCAGGGCUGUAUUUGACAUUUUUAACUAAGCAGUCUGAUUAAGAGAGAGAGCAGAUAUGCAGAUAUGCAAACAGGAAGGCAGAGCUGCCCCUUAUAAAAUUCUGCCCUGGUGAUAUCAAGUCCAGAGCAAUUUGAGAAACAGAUGAAGAACACAAUCGUAAGAUAUCUAGUAAGUCUGCUCUUGGAGGGUUAUGCACCAGAAGGUAAGAUAUAUUCCACUAGUGUAAUGCCAAGUGUAAGAAUAUUUCUGUACCCAAAUCAGCAUGCCCACUGUAUUACUCAGAAUUCUCUAGAGGGACAGAACUAAUAGGAUAGGUAGAUAGACAGAUAGAUAGAUAGAUAGAUAGAUAGAUAGAUAGAUAGAUAACAGAUAGAUAGAUAGAUAGAUAGAUAGAUAGAUAGAUAGAUAGAGCAUAAUAAGUAUUAACUCACAAGAUCCCACAAUAGGCCAUCUGCAAGCUGAAGAGCAAGGAGAGCCAGUCCGAGUCCCAAAACUGAAGAACCUGGAGUCCGAUGUUCAAGAGCAGGAAGCAUCCAGCAGGGGAGAAUGAUGUAGGCUAGGGCCACAAACCCCCUAACUGUCACCAGAAUUGGUGGGUGGAGAAGUAGUAAGGACUUCUUUUGCACAGUCAAAUCAUGGAUAUAGGAACAGAGACUCAAAUCAUCCAUCCUUUGUAAAGUCACCUUGCAUUUCUGUCCCACCAUUUCAAGCACAGAUUUAGCACCAUCAUUUGUGGCAGCUUCUGGUUUCUAGAUCAGUAUUGUAAAAUUACAGGUUAUCCAGGAACGUAAAAGAUAUAUUUUUUAAAAGUUGUAAAAGAGCUUACCACUCCUAUUUAAAGUCAAUUAACUUUAUCUAGAGAUCUUUAUGAGCCAGACCAGGAACAAUUAGGAAAUGAAAGAUUUAAAUAAGAUGAAGGUAGUUGUUCAUUCCUGCUCAUAUCUUCCAAAUAUUUCAGCAUUUCUGGGAUUGUUUUUAAAAGAAAUUUUUUUGAGAGUUGGUUUUUAGGGGAAUGUUUUAAACAUUGCUUCUCAUGUUAUCAUUCUCCUGAUGCAGUCUGCCAGGAUGUUCCAUUCAGCUGCCACAAUCUGCUCAUCCCUGUCUUAUAAAGGAAAACUAUUCUCAAAUGAAAAUCUCUCUCUCUUUUUUGCACCAGUAUAUUUCACAAAAGAAUAAAGGUGUCAAAUUUCAGAAUUUUUAAAAAUUUUAAAAUAUGGGCAUUUCCUGAAACCUGUCUUUAGAUGAUCACAUUCAAGGUGUUCACUUACGUAUUUGCUACUCUUUCUUGGGUAUCACUGAGCUUCACCAUAUACUGUUUAUUAAUUCUGUGUAUUAAUUAUUUAGAGAUACAGGGCAUUCACUGAAUGCCUAGCAAAGGUAAUAUCUAAAUACCAGGAGCUGAGAUCUACAGAACAUAUAUUCCCUGUCUCAUAUAACUCAGGGUCAAGCGGGAAAAUAUGUAUUUUGUUUAUUCUCAUCAGAAAAUGAGUCCAGUGAGACAGAAAUUCAGAAGAGCAGUUUAGCACCAGAGCAUGCAAAAACACAACCUUCUCCCACCUCAAUGCUCGCCAAGACUAAGCAAAAGGGGUUUUUGAAACAUAUAUGGAUUUGAACCCUUCUGCAACUUAUUAGGCAGCCACAUCCUUAUAGUCACGUAUUUGAUUUCUUGCAGCCCAGGAUUCUGCAACCGUAAUUUAGCCACCUUGCUGUAUUGUUAUAAGAGAUAAGAGAGACGUCACACAGCAGUUACCAUCUUAGGUGAUCAAUACAUAUCAGUGGCCUUUCUCUUCCCAUCUUCUCCGAGAACUCCAAGCCUGUCUCUGUAUGCUAUUUUAUCCUUUUCAUACUUCUAAUUUGGCCUAUCAGUACAAUAAUUUUGUCAUGGUAUUAAGUGGGUAAAUAACUUCAAAAUAUUGAUAAUCAAAAUGGGGAGCAAGAAAUAUAUCAAUGGAAUAUUUAAGCAAUUCAAUAGGGUAUAAUUUAAUGUCAGUGUGCAUUCAUAUGACUAAAAGAACUGUAGGAUGCCGUGUUUUUUCUACCAUUAGCAAGUUUUGAUCUUCUUGAGAACAGAGUACAGGCACAGGAGAUGUCUCCACCCAUGAAAAUAUCUUCAUUUAUUCAUUUGUCCAUUCAACACACACUCACAGAAAGCUUAUUUUGAUAUAUUUAAAAAUAUGUUAUGAAACUUUACUGGUCUAGAUAUAUUUGAUAAGUGCUUGAAAAGAGAAGGAGCAGUGAAUCCUCCCAUUCCCCCUUUGAGAGGGAGGUGCUAGAUUUAUCCUUCUUGAGCUAAAUCCCUCCACCUCCCCUUAAAGAGGAAGGUGCUAGAUUUAUCCUUGUUGGGCCAAAUACACCAGGGCUCAGCUGGCACAGCUGCUGCACCCUCCACUCCAUGUAGUCUGAGCAGGGAGAAGCUGAUGGAUAUUGAAGAGGCAGAACGUGGUAGCCUUGGCUGUGAUAUGGAGCUUCCCCUGGGCUAUGCGGAUGCUGAAGAAAGUAGCCAAACUUGGGAUGCUUUGACGAGACCAAGACCAAGAGAGCAGCCAGCAUCACAAGGCUGUGGGGUGGAGUUGCAGGUGCAGGAGCUGGCAAUGAGAGGGAGGGCACCAAAAGGGGGUUGACAAGCUCACCAUGUGUUUCUGGGAAGCAUGUAGUAUUCAUGUUGCCCAUGGCUUCUGAAAAACUUGUACAUCUGCCUCCAAGUAAAACUCCAGUAUUGGAAUGUCAGUCACAAGAAGGACUUCAGUGAACAUCUCAUAACAAAAGCAAUCCAGUUAAGACUUCUGUAUGUUUUCUUAGGUCAUCUUCUACUUUACUCUGUCCUGUGUGGUGUUAGUCUCAGGAGUAAGAGCAGGUAACUAAACCAGACAAGAACAUGAAUAUCACAGCACUAUUCACAAUAGCAAGGACAUGGAAUCAAUCUAGAUGCUCAUCAAUGGUGGACUGGAUAAAGAAAAUAUGGUACAAAUACACCAUGGAACACUAUGCAGCCACGAAAGAGAAUAUCAUGCCCUUUGCAGCAACAUGGAUGGAGCCGGAGGACAUUAUUCUAAGUGAACUAAUGAGGAAAGAGAAAAUUAAAUUGCCAUGUGAUCUCACUUAUAUGUGGGAGCUGUACAUUGAGCACCCGUGGAAGGAAAUGACAGACACCAGGACCUAAUUAAGGAUGGAAGUUGGGAAGAGAGUGAGGAUAGAAAAACUACCAUCAGGUACCAUGCUUAUUACCUGGGUGAUGAAAUAAUCUGUACACCCAACCCCCACAGCACGUAAUUUAUCUGUAGAACACAUUCUGCACAUUUACCCCUGGAAUUAAAAUAAAAGUUAAAAAAAAAAAAAGAAAAAAAAGAGCAGACCAAAUCCCCUUCUGCACUGAAGGCCCUCUAGCUAUGGGUCGGGCCUGAACUGGGAAUGGGGUGAAAAUUUGAAUCAGGUGAAAUGGACUUUUCUAAGCCUUAAAGUAAGUCCUAAUUACCAAAUUAGAAGAUCAUAGAAGAGACUGGCCAGAAGAUAGUGUAAACAUGAACAGGAAGGGUACUGCUCCAAAGCGUGUUUGAAAGCAGUAAUUGGAGGAAAAAUAAAGCUCUUUUCCUAUUGCACCCAACCAAGUUCCAGCCCCCUCCAUACACUGCUUAGACAGCAGUGAACUCUGAACAUUCAUCACAUGGGGCCCGAUCUGCAGAUGCUACUGGAUGGGGCCUGAUCAAGAGUAAGAAAAGUCAUGCUCCCAACUCAGUUCACACUUUCACUACCUGUAUAGUCCUGGACCAGUCUUUGAAAAUCUCUGACUGGAAUGCAAAGCUCAUCGCUUUCUUCAAAGAUAAUCAGACUUGUAUUAUUUUUCUACUUUACUUUAGCCCAGACUUGAACUCGCACAAAUUGAGUAAUGAGAGCCUACUUAAUUGAAUAUACACUUAUUAUUAAAAAGAUGAAGAGAAUAGGAAAAACCAACCGUACCUCCUCGCUCCUUCCAUUCACUAUACUCAUGGAGCCUUAGAUGCCUCUUGAAGGUGCUUUGGGGGCUAUGAACUGAUAUCUGUAAUUCAAGGGACCCAUUCCCUCCAGGUAGUGACCAUAAAUAUGGAUCCAUUAAUACUCAUUGAUGUGCAAGUAAAGAAUAUCUCAGGGAAUAGCUUGGACCCAGAGGUGGCAGAAAUCUGGGAUGAGACUGAUAAAAUCACUAAUUGUAUGACCCUACAACAUGGGCCUUCACUCAACUCUUUUGGAUGAGGGGCUCCGGGAAUACCAAUUACAUAUUAUAGCUUUAGGCUCUAGAAGCAAAAAAUCUAGGUUAGUAGUAAUGUAUUUUUAAAUAAUUCACAAACAUACUUUAUAAAGGAGUAAAAUGGAGGGUAAAAAUAUUCCUGGUAAUAAAACACUGAGAAAAAUACUUUUCCAUUUUAUUAUCAUAAGCAUAGUAACUACUAUGUACAAAACAAACAUAGACCUUGCACUUUGCAAGCCUGAUUUCACUUCACAAGUAUUAUGCCCAGGAAGAAGACUCUAAAAUUUAGUGUCCUUUAGUUAGUCAGUGGUAAAGACUGGAUUCUGUCCCAACUAUGGCUGUUUCCAAAGUGAAUGCUCUUAACUGCUGGGUUAUACUGCCCUUCCUUCACGUUUGAGUGGAGUUUGGGACAAGACUUCUCCAAUUAAACCUCAGAAUGAUGCCUUGUCAUUAUUUCUCAGAACAGUUUGACUUCAAUUGACAAACAUUCAUUGGACACUUACUAUUUUAAUAAUUCACCAUCCCUUGCAAUCCAUUUCCUUAGUAAGAAAAAGUAUUGGAACUCCUUUUUAUCCACUGAAAGAAUGUUGGCUCCUGGUGGCUAGAGUUGCACAUCAUCUGUAUUGGGAAUAAUUGCAAAAAAAGAGGGACGAAGACGUCAUCAAGAGAAAAAACAAACAGAAUGGAGGACAUUAAAAAACGUGAUUUGUGCAAUGAGGUCUUGAGAGAGAGAAGGAAGGAAAGAUGGAGUGAUGGCAGCCUAGAUGUGGCACUGCAUGGCUGGGUUCCUCAGAGCUGGGCACCCCACAGGGACCUCAUGGCCCACACUCUAACAUGGGCUUACAUGGAGAAAGCUAGUAAAAUCUAGGAAAAUGGUGAAAAAUACUUACAAACAUUUUUAUGUCUCACAAAUCCACAAAUCUUUGCUUGUUAUGGCAUAACCUAGGGUGCAAAAGGAAGGACAUUUUCAUACAUAAGACCAAACAUUUAUUAAGUAUUUUGAUGAAGGACCAGAUGAAGGCAAAAUAAAUCACCUCUAGUCUGUUUAUAAUCUACAACGAAGUUAGGUGAAUUUCACAGCCAUCUUAAUGACACCACAGAAAUGAUUAUUGAGACUGUCUAAAGAGUGAUAAAAGGAAAUUAAUUUGCAAAACACAUUAUUACUCACCUAGCAUUCUUAGAAUGACAGUAUUGAUUUGUUUGUUGUAGGUAGCUUUAAUAUUGUAUUUAUUUUUUAUUCUGGUAAAAUAUAGAUAUCAUAUAAUUUGUCAUUUUAACAGUUUUUAAGUGUCAAGUUCAUUGCUAUUACUGUGUAACCAUCACCACCAUCCAGAUUUAGAAUUUUCCAUCUUCUCAAAGUGAAAUUCUGUACCCAUCAAACACUAACUCCUCAUUUCCACUCCCUUCAACCCCUGGUAACUUCCUUUUUGCUUUCUGUCUUUAUGAAUUUGACUAUUCUGGAUACCUCACAUAUAAUGUUUAUCCUUUUGUGUCUGGCUUGUUUCACUUAGCAUAAUGUCAAGGGUCAUUCAUGUGGUAGCACAUGUCAGAUUUUCCUUCCUUUUUAAGGCUGAAUAAUAUCCCAUUAUAUGUAUUUACCACAUUUUGUUUAUCCAUUCAUCUGUCAAUGGACAUUUGGAUUGUUUUCACGUUUUGGCUAUUGUAAAUGAAGCUGCUAAGAACAUUGGAGUACAAAUAUUGUUCAAGUCCUCACUUUGCAUUCUUUUGAGUAAACACUCAGAAGAGGAAUUGCUGGAUUUUAUUGUAACUCUGUGGUUAAAAUCUUGAGGAACGGCCACACUGUUUUGUACAGAACCUGAACCAUUUUACAUGUCUACCAGCAAAGCACAAGGGUUGCUAUCUUAUAUUCUAUUGACUGUGAAAACACUUACUUCCUAAGAGUUUGCACACCCCCUCCCCACUACAUUUUCUCCACAUAGAUUCAGUUCUAGCCUUUUUUACUGGUCCAUUCUCAAGCUGCCAAUAAAGACGUACCCAAGUCUGGGUAAUUUAUAAAGAAAAGGUUUAACUGACUCACAGUUCCACAGUGCUGAGGAGGCCUCAGGAAACUUACAAUCACGGUGGAAGGAAAAGCAAACACAUCCUUCUUCACAUGGUGUCAUGAGGGAGAAGUGCUGAGUGAAGCAGGGAAAAGCCCAUUAUAAACCCAUCAGAUCUUGUGAGAACUCACUUACUAUCACAAGAAGAGCGUGAGGGUAACCACCCCCAUGAUUAAAUUACCUCCCACUGAGUCCCUCCCACAACAUGUGGGGAUCAUGGGAAAUACAAUUCAAGAUGAGAAGUGGGUAGGGACACAGCCAAACCGUAUCACCCUUAAACUACAAACUCACCUUGGCAGGUUGCCGAGUGGAGGGAUAUUCUAAAUGGGAUUUCUGUGAGACGGUAGAAAAUAAUAACAGAGCAUCUACACUUUUUCAAACAUUUUUUUUACAAAUAUUAUUUCAUUUAAUCAUCACAAUACUGUGAAGCAGGCAUCAUUAUCAUCACGAUUCUCAAUUGACAGGUAGGUUAUUGGAGGCUGAUUGGCUUACGUGACUUCCAAUGUGCUAUGGAGGUGCCCAGGGUGUAAAGUUCAACAGAUCUAUCUUGCUCUGCCGCUCUGAGCAGGCCUUUAGCAAAUACUGUGAUAAUUUGCUAAGGUAAGUACCUGCUUGUCCCCUGCAGCUGGGGUCCAUGACUGAGCCCCCCUACUGUGACAGCUGACUCACGCCUGGGUGGCUCGGAGUGUCUCUGUUUGCUGUAUAUGCAGCUAUUUGUAUUCAAUUACUAAAAAUUUAGUUCGUCUGUGAAAUAAUUGUCCAUCUCUCCCCCCAAAAAAGGCCAACUGCUAGUGCAGAUGAUGAAAAUGAUGAAAAAGUGAGACAAGCUAAGGCACGUAGGUUUCUUCGCCAGAAUAUAAAAGUGAGUAAACUAAAGAGAGAAAUGAAUUCAGCAGUGGCUGAGAUCUGAGGAAUGAACAAGUUCACCAAUUUCUCUCUACAGAAAUGAGAAAAAGACAUUUGUGAAACUGUUGCAAAUGAUCCAGCCAGUGAAAAAAUUGCUCAUCAAGUGAGAGAUAAGACUUAAGUGAAAACUGAAAAGGGGGUUAAUGUGUGGAGUGAGAACAUGCACAGGAAACACACGACUUAUGAUGGAAACGGGGCUCGGCAGGAAGCCCAGAUCCUGUACAAACAUUUCCAUGAAGCAGCAGAUGGGAAGGCUCCAGAGUGGCUCCUCAACCAACCUUUGCUGUGAGUGCAAUUGACUGGAAAACUUGAAGAAGCAUUUCUUUUUUUUUUUGGAUGAUGCAAAGUAACGAGGAGAAAUGGCACCCGUUAACCUCUUGGUUGAUGUCCAGUUUUCUUCUGCACUCAGAAGGAUCCUCAAGAGGAACGUGGUAGACCAGAAGAAGAGUCAGGCACUGCUUUAGACACCUCUAUUGGGGCCAAAGUGUCUUCUGAACACAGGUAUCCAGGAGGAAAACGAACUCUAAGAUUAAAGGCAGCCAAAGACAGAGUCUUCUAGACUUUGGGGACAUGGUGGGCUUUAAGGGGGAGCCACGUUUGCUGAACCAUUCUUUAAACCCCCAGACAUUUAGGAGUAAGGCUAAAAACUUCAUAGCCAUGUAGUAACAAUGUAGGAAAACAAUGUUGGGAUCAUGGCACAUUUCCUUUUGCCCAGGACAACUAUGUUGUCCGAGUAGAAUUUGGAUUUCUAAAGGUCUCAAGACCCUUGUCUCCUGCUGUAGCUGGGGAUGUGGAUCCUAAAAACACCCUGGUAAGAGGUGGGUGGGCCAUGCUUCAAACACAGAUAAACUUGACUCCAAAAUCUAGGCCCUUUUGACUCUUCUCUAUCAACUUUUUCAGACGUUGGUCAGGCAAACUUAUUCCCCAAGACCAUGGAAUUGGGGCUAAGAUUUAUGCAAAGGUCUAGAGUUCUUUUCUGGUCCCUCAGCCCUUCCUUCCCUCUACUCUACUGCUGGGGAGUUGUGGGCAGUUUGCUAAAUGGCACCUCCAUCUAGGCACAUCAUAUAUAAUAGAGCAAACUCUCAUAAUGUGAUAAGCUCCAUUUUGAUUUUAUAUGUUUUAAAGAUAUUUUUCUAUCAAUACCGUUCACAAUUUAAUUACAAUAAUUAACAUAGUUUUCCAAUAUUAUUUUUGCAUUUGAUUAUAUGCCUAAAAAUGUUGCAGCUGUGUUUACCUAUAUGCCUUUUGUCUUAGGCUUCAUUUAAAAUGAGAAGUAAAUAUCAUUUUUAUAUAUAGCUUUCCACUUGCUUUGUGAACUAUUUUCAUAAUACCCCAAUUUAGCCACAAACAUCCUCUGGUGUGCUCAGAUCUCUCC